GCUAAGAAUAUUCCGCAAUGGACGAAAGUCUGACGGAGCGACGCCGCGUGGAUGAUGAAGGCCGGAAGGUUGUAAAAUCCUUUUAUGACUGAGGAAUAAGCAGUGUGAGAGAAACGCAUUGUGGUGACUGUAGGUCAUGAAUAAGCAACGGCUAAUUACGUGCCAGCAGCCGCGGUAACACGUAAGUUGCGAGCGUUGUUCGGAAUUAUUGGGCGUAAAGGGCAUGUAGGCGGUUCUGCAAGUCUGGUGUGAAAUACCGGGGCUCAACCCCGGAACUGCGUUGGAAACUGCAGAACUUGAGUCGCUGAGGGGCAGCCAGAAUUCCAGGUGUAGGGGUGAAAUCUGUAGAUAUCUGGAAGAAUACCAAUGGCGAAGGCAGGCUGCCAGCAGAUGACUGACGCUGAGGUGCGAAGGUGCGGGGAGCAAACAGG
rnacentral:rRNA from 1 species